rnacentral:lncRNA from 1 species
CAGUGUCCUAUAAGGAGUCCUGUGAUAAUCCUAGCUUCAUUUUUAUGCAAUGCAAGCAACUCUUUAGUUCUUUGUAUAGAUGGACCUAAAAGCCUUUGUUUGCCUUAAUUCAGGAGUAAACCUCCAGUGGGUGAGGUGCUGAGUUGCCAACCAGUCCCUGACAACCCAACCAAAUGCAUCAGAUCUGAUAAACAGAACAAGUUCAGGUCUAAUAAAGGGGUGAGAAGCCCUUUCUUUGGCCAGCCUAUCAGCAGCCUCAUUGCCUCAAUCCCUUUAUACCUUGGCAACCAAAUAUGUUAUAUGCCUUGCACCUGGUAGCCAGUUACUACCAACAAUCCUAUACAAGCUUAGAAGUAAAGCUGAAAUUAUCAAGUGCUUUUAGUGCAGCUUGACUAUCUGAUAUAAAUGUAUCUAUAUAUGUGUAAAUAUAUAAAUGGGAAUGUUAACAUAUCUCUUAUCAAGAUUAAUUUUAACACAAGCAGAAAUAACAUAGAUUUCUGCAUGAAAAUCAGCAGAAAACUAUCUGAGGGAAUAAGAAUAAGAUAUUCUUGUUCCCUCACAGUAAACUCUUGCCCCAACACCAAUAGUGGUUUUAGAACCGUCUGUAA